GUUGAAACCACAUAUUAAGACUCUACAUGACAUGGUAGCUAUAGCCAACCCCACCUUUGAAGACACUAUGGCAGUGGAAACUGGGUUCUCAGACACCAAUCUGUGGCUAGAGUGGAUGAGGUACAACGCUAACUCACACAAUAAGACUAAUUGUUAUGUAUGUGGAGGAGCCAGGCCCCAUCUGGGUACAGUUCCUCUGAGUUUACGUCCUGAAGUAGAAUGAUGUGUUUUAAGUCUUUAUGCACAAUCCACCACAAAUUCCUCAACAUGUGAAUCGUGGAAAAAGGUUUACCCAAUCACUCAUGGAUACGUUAGGCCACCUGAUGAAGUCACAGUAUAUCCAGGUAAUUACACGUGUUACUCAAUACCUAAG